rnacentral:rRNA from 1 species
AGGAAGGAAAAGUCGUAACAAGGUCUCCGUAGGUGAACCUGCGCAAGGAUCAUUG